rnacentral:rRNA from 1 species
CCCAGACUCCUACGGGAGGCAGCAGUGGGGAAUAUUGCACAAUGGGGGAAACCCUGACGCAGCGACGCCGCGUGAGUGAAGAAGUAAUUCGUUAUGUAAAGCUCUCUCAGCAGGGAAGAAAAUGACGGUACCUGAGUAAGAAGCCCCGGCUAACUACGUGCCAGCAGCCGCGGUAAUACGUAGGUGGCAAGCGUUAUCCGGAUUUACUGGGUGUAAAGGGCGUGUAGGCGGGGAAGCAAGUCAGAUGUGAAAACCACGGGCUCAACCUGUGGCCUGCAUUUGAAACUGUUUUUCUUGAGUACUGGAGAGGCAGACGGAAUUCCUAGUGUAGCGGUGAAAUGCGUAGAUAUUAGGAGGAACACCAGUGGCGAAGGCGGUCUGCUGGACAGCAACUGACGCUGAGGCGCGAAAGCGUGGGGAGCAAACAGGAUUAGAUACCCUAGUAACG